GAUGAACGUUGGCGGCGUGCCUAACACAUGCAAGUCGAACGCUAGUAGCAAUAUUAGAGUGGCGCACGGGUGAGUAACACGUAGCUUACCCACCUCCCAGCGCGGGAUAACGGUUCGAAAGAACUGCUAAUACCGCAUAAGCUCACGGCCUGUAGAGGGCUGCGAGAAAAGGCGCAAGUCACUGGGAGACGGGGCUGCGGCCCAUCAGCUCGUUGGUGAGGAACGGC
rnacentral:rRNA from 1 species